rnacentral:rRNA from 1 species
UACGUAGGGGGCUAGCGUUGUCCGGAAUCAUUGGGCGUAAAGCGCGCGUAGGCGGCCCGGUAAGUCCGUUGUGAAAGUCAAAGGCUCAACCUUUGAACGCCGAUGGAUACUGCCGGGCUAGAGUCCGGAAGAGGCGAGUGGAAUUCCUGGUGUAGCGGUGGAAUGCGCAGAUAUCAGGAGGAACACCGAUGGCGAAGGCAGGUCUCUGGGCCACUACUGACGCUGAGAAGCGAAAGCAUGGGGAGCGAACAGG